rnacentral:rRNA from 1 species
AGCCCAGACUCCUACGGGAGGCAGCAGUGGGGGAUAUUGCACAAUGGGGGAAACCCUGAUGCAGCGACACCGCGUGGGUGAGGAAGCGCUUCGGCGUGUAAAGCCCUAUCAGUGGGGAAGAAAAAGGACGGUACCCAAAGAAGAAGCCCCGGCUAACUACGUGCCAGCAGCCGCGGUAAUACGUAGGGGGCAAGCGUUAUCCGGAUUUACUGGGUGUAAAGGGGGCGCAGACGGCGAUGCAAGCCAGGAGUGAAAGCCCGGGGCCCAACCCCGGGACUGCUCUUGGAGCUGCGUGGCUGGAGUGCAGGAGGGGCAGGCGGAAUUCCUGGUGUAGCGGUGAAAUGCGUAGAUAUCAGGAGGAACACCGGUGGCGAAGGCGGCCUGCUGGACCGCGACUGACGUUGAGGCUCGAAAGCGUGGGGAGCGAACAGGAUUAGAUACCCGGGUA